AGGCUGCCACAUAAGUCAGGGGUGAAAGUCGGUUGCUCAACAAUCGAUUGGCCUUUGAAACUGUGUGGCUCGAAUAUAGAUGAGGUAGGCGGAAUGUGUAGUGUACCGGUGAAAUGCAUAGAUAUUACACAGAACACCAAUUGCGAAGGCAGCUUACCAAACUAUUAUUGACGCUGAAGCACGAAAGCGUGGGUAGCGAACAGGAUUAGAUACCCUGGUAGUCCACGCCGUAAACUAUGCUCACUCGCUGUUGGCAAUACAUGGUCAGCGGCUAAGGGAAACCGAUAAGUGAGCCACCUGGGGAGUACGAUCGCAAGAUUGAAACUCAAAGGAAUUGACGGGGGCCCGCACAAGCGGAGGAACAUGUGGUUUAAUUCGAUGAUACGCGAGGAACCUUACCUGGGCUUAAAUGUAGAGUGCAUUACGUAGAAAUAUGUAUUUCCUUCGGGACUCUUUACAAGGUGCUGCAUGGUUGUCGUCAGCUCGUGCCGUGAGGUGUCGGGUUAAGUCCCAUAACGAGCGCAACCCCUAUUGUUAGUUACCAGCGCGUAAAGGCGGGGACUCUAGCGAAACUGCCGGUGUAAACCGCGAGGAAGGUGGGGAUGACGUCAAAUCAGCACGGCCCUUGUGUCCAGGGCUACACACGUGUUACAAUGGCCGGUACAGUGGGCAGCCACAUAGCGAUAUGGAGCUAAUCUCAAAAGCCGGUCUCAGUUCGGAUUGGAGUCUGCAACCCGACUCCAUGAAGGUGGAUUCGCUAGUAAUCGCGCAUCAGCCAUGGCGCGGUGAUACGUUCCCGGGCCUUGUACACACCGCCCGUCAAGCCAUGGAAGUUUGGGGUGCCUGAAGUUCGUAACCGCAAGGAGCGACCUAGGGUAAACAAAUGACUGGGGCUAAGUCGUAACAAG
rnacentral:rRNA from 1 species